rnacentral:sRNA from 1 species
UUUAAAUUACAAAAUCUAUGGACUCACCGGAGGAAGUAGCGGUGGUGGAGGAGGAGGAGGAUGAGGAGGAGGAGGAGGAGGAGGAGGAGGAAAGGUGAGAUGCUAAGCUCGAAGCCUAACUUAGAACAGAAAUGGAAUUCGAUGAGAAGAGAAUAAGGUAAGAGACGGAAGAAAGUUAGAGUAGGAGAAUAAUAUGAUUUUCAUAAGAUAAGGAAACCCUAAAGUUUGGGAUCCAUUUAAAUACAACUGAGUUUAAUAAACGAUAUCGUUUAACACAAAUAAACGACAUUGUAAAACUCUACUUGAAACAGAGGCUUCUCGACACUUCUUCUUUAUUUUUU